rnacentral:rRNA from 1 species
GACGGAGGGUGCAAGCGUUGUUCGGAUUGACUGGGCGUAAAGGGCGUGUAGGCGGUUGGUCAAGUCCGAUGUGAAAACCCGAGGCUUAGCCUCGGAAGUGCAUCGGAAACUAGCCAGCUGGAGCGCGAUAGAGGAGGGUAGAAUUCCUGGUGUAGCGGUGAAAUGCGUAGAUAUCAGGAGGAAUACCGGCGGCGAAGGCGGCCCUCUGGAUCGUUGCUGACGCUGAGACGCGAAAGCGUGGGGAGCAAACAG